rnacentral:rRNA from 1 species
CGCUGGCGGAAUGCUUUACACAUGCAAGUCGAGCGGCAGCGCGGGGGCAACCCUGGCGGCGAGCGGCGAACGGGUGAGUAAUGUAUCGGAACGUACCCAGUCGUGGGGGAUAACUAUCCGAAAGGAUAGCUAAUACCGCAUACGUCCUGAGGGAGAAAGCGGGGGACCGAAAGGCCUCGCGCGAUUGGAGCGGCCGAUAUCGGAUUAGCUAGUUGGUGAGGUAAAGGCUCACCAAGGCGACGAUCCGUAGCUGGUCUGAGAGGACGACCAGCCACACUGGAACUGAGACACGGUCCAGACUCCUACGGGAGGCAGCAGUGGGGAAUUUUGGACAAUGGGGGCAACCCUGAUCCAGCCAUUCCGCGUGAGUGAAGAAGACCAUNGGGUUGUAAAGCUCUUUCAGCAGGAACGAAACGGUGGUCCUUAAUACGGGCUGCUAAUGACGGUACCUGAAGAAGAAGCACCGGCUAACUACGUGCCAGCAGCCGCGGUAAUACGUAGGGUGCGAGCGUUAAUCGGAAUUACUGGGCGUAAAGCGUGCGCAGGCGGUUCUAUAAGACAGAUGUGAAAUCCCCGGGCUUAACCUGGGAACUGCGUUUGUGACUGUAGGACUCGAGUGUGGCAGAGGGGGGUGGAAUUCCACGUGUAGCAGUGAAAUGCGUAGAGAUGUGGAGGAACACCGAUGGCGAAGGCAGCCCCCUGGGUCAACACUGACGCUCAUGCACGAAAGCGUGGGGAGCAAACAGGAUUAGAUA